UCAAGGCUAUACAGAGAAACCCUGUCUCGAAGAAAACCCAGAAAAACAAAACAAAACAAAGUCCUCCCACCAACCUUAGCAUCUCCACUUUGUCCCCAUCAUGACAAGCAAUCUCCACAGCCAGGUGACUGGAUUGAAUCACCUAAGAGCCUGUUAGAGUGGCUCACAACUGUAACCCCAGAAUUUGGAAGACAGAAGCAGGAAGUUUGCUUUAAGUUCGGGGCCAGCAUAAACUUCAUGUGAGUUCCAGCUAUGGACUCCAGUGAAAGCCAGUUUCAAAACAAAGCAAGGACAAACAAGAAAUAAUAAAAGCAGAAAUGCAAGCAAAAAAGAACUACCUAGGAAAUUAGUAUAGCACAUCUCUAGGUGUGGUGGGCGUAACUGUUUCCAAAGAGGAACGUGUAGGACAGUGACUUGGGGGAAAGACCUGUCCUGAAUGUGGGUAACCGCAUCCAACAGGCUGGGAGCUCCAUGGAAUAAACAAAGAAGAGAAAGCUGACCAGGUCCUUUAGACUCUAUUCUUCCUGAACAAGUGUGUCUGCUGCCCUCACCACCAUCUGUGAACAUAAGAUUCUAGCAUCUUCAGUCUCUCAGCACAGGUCCUCCAGAAACACCCAGAGGACAGCUUCUGCCUUCAGGUUUGCAACAGAUGUUUACGGACUGUGUUUGAGAACCGUAAUGUGUCAGCUGGUUCCCAACAAGGAAUGUGCAAGAUUGGCCCAAAGGAGGUCACAGCUCAAGUGGAAGGCACCAAAGUAAAUCAUUUGUCUCCAAGUGUGAAGUGCCCUGUAGGGCGGAGGCCAGUUCAGGGUUCCGGGGGAGCACCCGGGGAAGACCUCUGAACCAUGCCCCAGGGUUCAGGAAAUGCCUUCCGUGGUGGGUGAUAUGAAGGGUAAGGCAGGUUCAAAUCAGCACCAGGAAUUGUCCGUGAGUGUGGCAGAGACAGAGUCCACGUAGGGAAAAACUCAAAGAAAAGAAAAAACAGAUGUGAAAACUAUUACCAUGGACACGGAGAAGUGGGCGGGGCCUGCCAUAAAGAAGGGAUCCGUGGGGUCUAAGAGCCUGCGGGAAGCCACUGAGAGGGUCUACGCAGCAUUCACCUCGUCUACUCCACUCUCCGUGCUGAGUUCUACAGCCCAGGAAACUCCUUCUGCCAUCGUGACGGAGAAUGACUCAGGAAAGGGUACAGUCAUUACAGAGGAGGUAGUGGCAGGGGUCCAAGGAGACGACAGUGCCCGAAGCAAGGGAGUGAGAGGAAAUGAGAAAUGGGAAAUCAUAGGUCUUGGUGCAGAUCUUACAUGAAGUUCAAGGAGAAAGGAGGAGUCUGGGCUGAUGGACAGCCAGGCACACCCUGGUAUCAUGAGCCAUCAUUAGAGUAAGGAGGGCAAGUCUGUAGUGUGAACGGGGGCAAGGUCUUGACUGGAAGGCAGUAUUAAAUGAUUAUAGGUCAUCCGCUAAAGGAGAUGUCAUCCAGAGUAAUAAUGGCUGGAAACAGUUCAGAGAGGCACCAGGGAAGCCAAGGCUGAUGAUGUAGUCUAGGGAACAUUAGCAUGAAGAGACAGAAAUUUGAGCAGGGGAAUUAUCUCAGUAGGUAAUGUGCCUGCUGCACAUAUAUGAUGACCCGAGCUCAGAUUCCCAGCACCCAAGUAAAAGAGCCAGGGUAUUUUCAUGAGCCUGUAACCCUAACACAAGGAAUCUAGACAGAGAGAUCCCUGGCGCUUUCUGGCCAGCCAUCCUUGCCAAUCAGUUAGUGUCGGAAGACACCGGAUGUCUGCCUUUGACCUCCGUGUGUACAUAUGCCAUGUGUGCAUAUAUUACAUAUGUGUACACAACUUUUAAAAGAGAGACAGGAGUUUGCAAAAACCUCAGUGUGCCUCCUAUUCACAAUGCCAUACUUGAAGAAGGAAGUAACCGUAUGGCGGAGAAAGCCGGCAGACAACGUUCCUGAAUGAUUGGGGUCGUCACUAAGGAGCAGAGUGACAUCAAGAACCUCCUGACAGGGCUCACUGAGGCCACAGCAUUUCUGAAGUAUUUCCUCUCAAAACCCACAAUCUGUAUCUAAUCCUGGGCAGCCACAGACAAACCCACAGGGAAGGACAAUCCCUUAAUUUACUGCCCUGUGCUCUUCAAAACACCAAGGCCAGGAAGGACGGAGACUAAAGAACAAAUGUAACAGUGUAUUUCAGCCUAUGGUCCUAGAUAAGAUUCGGAGCCAAAACUGGAGCAACAAUGAAACCAAACAGCAACAACAAAACCUUCUUCUCUUCUUGCUAGCAUGGUGUCAUGCCUAUUAGUAAAAACUGAAAUAAAGUUUAUGCCUUAAACAAU